GACGAACGCUGGCGGCGUGCUUAACACAUGCAAGUCGAACGGAAAGGCCCUGCUUUUGUGGGGUGCUCGAGUAGCGAACGGGUGAGUAACACGUGAGUAACCUGCCCUUGACUUUGGGAUAACUUCAGGAAACUGGGGCUAAUACCGGAUAGGAGCUCCUGCUGCAUGGUGGGGGUUGGAAAGUUUCGGCGGUUGGGGAUGGACUCGCGGCUUAUCAGCUUGUUGGUUGGGUAGUGGCUUACCAAGGCUUUGACGGGUAGCCGGCCUGAGAGGGUGACCGGCCACACUGGGCCUGAGAUACGGCCCAGACUCCUACGGGAGGCAGCAGUGGGGAAUAUUGCACAAUGGGCGGAAGCCAGAUGCAGCAACGCCGCGUGCGGGAUGACGGCCUUCGGGUUGUAAACCGCUUUCGCCUGUGACGAAGCGUGAGUGACGGUAAUGGGUAAAGAAGCACCGGCUAACUACGUG
rnacentral:rRNA from 1 species